rnacentral:rRNA from 1 species
CGCCUGUUUAACAAAAACAUGUCUUUUUGAAUUUUUUUUAAAGUCUGACCUGCCCACUGAAAUAUUUUAAAUGGCCGCAGUAUACUAACUGUGCAAAGGUAGCAUAAUCAUUAGUCUUUUAAUUGAAGGCUGGUAUGAAUGGUUGGACGAAAUAUUAACUGUUUCAUGAAAAUUUAUAAUAGAAUUUUAUUUUUUAGUCAAAAAGCUAAAAUUUAUUUAAAAGACGAGAAGACCCUAUAAAUCUUUAUAUUUAUAUUAUUAUAAUUUUGUAGAUUUUUUUUAUUAUAAUAAUAGAUUAUAUUUUAUUGGGGUGAUAUUAAAAUUUAAUAAACUUUUAAUUUUUUAAAUCAUUAAUUUAUGAAUAAUUGAUCCGUUAUUAGCGAUUAAAAAAACAAGUUACUUUAGGGAUAACAGCGUAUUUUUUUUGGAGAGAACAUAUCGAUAAAAAAGAUUGCGACCUCGAUGUUGGAUUAAGAUAUAAUUUUAGGUGUAGCCGCUUAAAUUUUAAGUCUGUCCGACUUUUAAAUUCUUACGUGAUCUGAGUUCAGACCGG